AGUUGAUCUCCCACCAACAAUAUGGCUGAAUUGGGGCUCUGUCUUAGUUACUUUCCUGUUACUUUGGUCACACACCCUGACCUCAGUCAACUUAUAGAAGGAAGAGUUUAUUAGGUUUCAGAAGGUGACAGGCAAUGACUGUUAUGGUGGGAAACAUGGCAGCAGGCAAGCGGGCAUGGCGCUGGAGCAGUAGCUGAGCUCCUGCAUCUUGAUCGACAAGCAUGAAGCAAAGAAAAAGCUAACAGGGAAUGCUAUGGACUUUUGAAACUUCAGGGCCUGGCCCCAGUGACACAUUUCCUCCAGCAAGGUCACAUCACACUUCCUAAUCUGUCCCAAGCAGUUUUACCAACUGGGGAUCACCUAUUGAGGUACAUAAGUCUCCUGAAGCCAGUCUCACUCAAAAUGUCAAAGGCUCUUUUCAUCUCUUUACUCUUCUCUGCUUCUCUCCUCUCCUGUCUGCCUUCAGAGCUUUGACCCACAUCUAAGUUAUACUGUCUCCCAGUGUUCUAAACUUAUUACAGCUCCCUUCCAAAGACCAAGAGUGUGUCUAAUAGUACCUUGAAAAGAAAGUAACUAAGCUGCCACCCCAGCCUCCAGUUCAAGAGGAAGCACUUGCACCUCUCCCAGUGGCUUCAGUGGUUUUCCGUGGCACCUUACCCUCUCCCCACUCAUCCACAGUGAGGUCUAUGACUCCAACUCCAAACUCAUCCAAUUCUUCCACUUUCUCAAGCCAAACCAUCGCCCUCUUUCUCUUGGAAUCCCCAGCCUCCUGGCUCUCCUCUGCUUUCUUCUUAUUGUCCCCUAAGAUGCUUCCUGGUCAGCCAGAGGAAUUAAGUGUGAACCACUUCAUGGAAUAAUGAUGUCUCAAAACUUAAGUCCCAGCCUGCAUAUUGUGUUGAGUUAAAGUCACUACCAAGUCAACAAGGCAAGGAAAACAGAGCCAUACAGACUGGAAAGGAAAUUUCAAGAAAGUAGUACAUACCUCUAAUAUCAGUACACAGGAGGUGGACACAAGAAAAUUGUGAGUUCAAGGCCAGCCUGGGCUACAAGGUCCUACUGAACAAGAGAGAAAGGGAAUGAAGAGGAAAAAAAGAUUGGAAAGGAAGAAAUAAAGCUGUCAUUAGUCACAG
rnacentral:lncRNA from 1 species